GUCUUUUAUAAAAACUUUUUCUAACACAAAUAUUUCCAUUUUGAUAUUUUUUUUAAAAUGCUCAAAAAAAAUCUGCCGAUAGAGAUGUUCUAAAUAUCUGAAUUUCAAACCUUAAAUUUUUUUUUGGUAAUAACUAAAUAUAUUAAUAGAAAAGAAUUAGAAAAUAAAUUAAAUGUAAAACAUGAAUUUUCGUAAAAAUUUAUGGCAGUGUUAAUAAAAAAUACUAUAUAUAAAUUAUCAUAAACAUAAAGAAUUAUCAGAUGUAAAAUUGUAUAUAUUUACUUUCUCGAAUAAAAUAAUAUGUCACUAUUAAAAACUAAUUUGUCUUUCUUAAAGUAUUUAUAGAACUAGAGUGUUCUUAACACACAUCUUUGGCUUGCUAAUAUUUGUCUUUCAGUGUUACAUACAUGAUUAGUAACAAUAUAAAUAAGCUCCGUUUUAACUUUUUGAAAGAAAAAAAAAACUCUUCACAUUUGAAAAACUAAAAAUUUAAAUGUAGUUAUUUAUCACUAAGUCAUGCUAAAUAUUUAUGCUUGCGUUUACUUUGAUACAUUAUUUAUUUGUGGUGAUACAUUGAUUAGUUCAUUAAAAUCUCGGUUAUACUUUUUAAAAGUACAUAAGGUCGGUCCAAUGAAAUAAAUAUCCGACAAAUGCUCCAGAACUUUCCACGGUUGAUAAAGAAAAAGCGGUUGAUGAUAUGUCGCUUUCGCAUUGGCCGGAUCGUAUGUGACGUGCACUAACUGGCACGUCAUAUUUGUAGACACAAAUACUAUUUGCCUUUUUCAUUUAGCUGAUAGUCGACGUGGUGUUACAGUCAGCGCGACAUCUGUACAACAUGUUAAUGAUUUGGAAUUUUAUAUAAAACAAUUGCCUAGCGCAGAAGAAGAAAACAACUCCUAUAGUUUUUGAGAAUCAAAUAUCCAUCUUCUCUCCUCUCCUAGUGAGAAAAUUUUUCUCUUAAAUCCUCUGAUCUUCUUAUCUCAUCUUUAUCUUUCAGAAGAUUUAGAGUUUGAUUUGUGGGAGUGAGAGUUAGAUGUUUUGUUUGCCGGUUUCGGUUUUACCGUCCGGCUCUUGUCUCCGGUGGUGGAUCAGUUCCUCCGAUCAUCGUCCGGCUCUGCCUCCGGGAAGCGACGACUCUCACAGCGUCGACUUCGUCGGCUUCUGUCUCCGGGAGACGAUGUCUUCAUGGAAUCGUUCUCGCCGGCACCGCUCGAUCUACGAUUCAGUUCUUCGUUGUCCGACUGCCUCUCGCUCCAAUCCUCUGUUGAUUAGGAUCGAUUGUAGGCGUCGUUGUUUCUUCUCUGAAUUGUAGAUCCACCAGUUUUGGCUUUCGGUUUGAGCCUCUGUGAAGAUUGGUUCUUCUGUGGUUCGUCUUCGUCGUCGGCGGAGUUCCGUCGCCUCCUCUGGUUCCGGUGGAAGGAAGUGGUUCCUCGUCUUGACCCGUGUCUCAUUGAUCGCCGGGCGAUCGUCCACGUGGAAGAUGACGUGCCGUAGCUUGCUUCCUCGACGGUUUUCCUUUCUGUGUUGGGCCCGUGUGUUGGGUUUCUUUAAUGUUAGUUGGGCUUCGUCUUGCUUUUUCGUUUUGGUUUGUUUAGGGUUUGGUCUUGUUGGGCUGAGUUUCUUUUAAUAAAAUUCCAGUGGACUAAAAAAAAAGAAGAAAACAACUCCAAAGAUAUUUAUGAUUAGGUGAUAGUCGACGUGGCGCUAUAGUCAAUGCUUUUAUGAUAUUUUUCCAUAGAUAUUUUCUUUAGAUACCUUUUGGCAUUGGACUACAGGAUACUUGCAACACUACACACACAUUCAAAUACACGCACAUUCGAUACACGUAGAAUGUAUCUAUGCAAAGACUUAAUGAGCCUUGCUCUAUUUUGUUUAAAGAUUUAACCAAACCAUUGUAGAAGGCAGAGGGCAUCAAUGCAUCAUGCAUGAACUCAACAGUUUUCAAAAAGACAAUGAAUCUUUCUAUAUUGAACUAGAUAUACAAAGUAUCACUCUUUUAAGACUACUUAGGAGUUAGGACACGUUGAACGUAUCUUAUCCAAGACAACUAAUCCAUUUUGUUUAAAUACGUAAUCAAACCCAUUGUAGAAUGCAGAGGUUCCACAUGAACUAGACACCUUUUCUAAAAAAGAAUGGCUCUCUGUUGAACUAAAUGUUGACAAAUGGGCUUGUGCGUCGUCUAUACAUCAUCUAGUUCAAUAAUACUCUCAAACUUAAUUUAUAACCAAAACGAUUAGACAAAAUGAUCAAUUAAGCAACAGACAAGAACUCAUUGUUAUAAUUGAAAACAAGAUAGAUCGUAUGUCAAAAUCAUCAUCCGAUCACUCCAUAAUUAAUGUUUCUCAAAACACGUACAGGUGAAAGAUAUAAUUAUACAUUACUAUUAGAGAUUAUAAUCUCUUUUGUAUGAAGAUGUAAUUGAACAAUAUAUGGAUUCUGAAAGUAUCUUUUUUUUUCUUUCUGAACACCUGAUUCUAAAAGUAUCUAGUUAGCUAACUUUUGAUCAUACAAUCAUUUCAAACGAGAGGAAUAGUCAUUAUCAGCAUUUGAUAACUACCUUAACAAUUUAUCAACAUCAAACCCAUGAUAGUCAUAAAUAAAGUGAUACAUUGAACAAUAACUAGAAAAAACACUACGAAAACCAAAGAAAUUCUAAUACAAUUAGGAAAAACAUUUGUAAAUUGCAAUCUCUAGCUAUGGUUGGGGUCCGGAAUCACGACAAGCAAAAAUAAGCUGGAUUAUGUGCAAAAAUGCACAUCCAGCACAUGACCCGUCUAGUGAAAACAAUGUGAUAGACAUCUUCAUGCAUACUGAUAUUUAUCAAACGACAAUUUACAUGAUUUAGAAAGUAAGAAAUGCAAUACUCCAUAUUCAACCAUCUCAAUAACUCCACUAUUUUUUCUGUUAAUAGUUUUAACCAAGUGAUCUAGCCUAGUGGUAAUUGGUAAAAGAUUCACAGCUGUGAGUACCGCCUUGGGUUUGAUUUCCCUUGACCACCUGGAGUGCUUUAAGUGGUAAAAAAACGCAGAUACUGUGAGCUUUAUAGUGAUUAGUCAUUGGUCUUAGAAAGUCUUUGGGAUCACACUACGGUUAUAAAAAAACAAAAAAACUACAACACCAAAUAAACGGUCAAGUUAAGACUCGAGCCCUUAUCUCGGGUUCAUACACACCUCGUUUUCGACGUCUACUCUCGUAUUCUUAGGUCUUAGGUAACUCUUUCCUCGUUGUUAAUGCAGGUUACACUAAUCCUUUUAUAGGCUUUUGCUCCAACAUGAUGUCUUUUUUUUUUUUUUUUUUUUUUGCUAAACGCUCCAACAUGAUGUCUCAAAAUUAUAUUAAUAAAAAGUAUUUAUUAGAAAGUUACUAAAGAUUCUCUUAUUCCAAACCAAUCUAUUAUUAUUAAAACUGAAAUAGCUUUUGAUACUGUUUGAAAAUAUAAAUAACAAUAUAAAUAAAAAUUGUUUGGAAAUAUGAAUAAUAUUAUUAUUAAUAUUUUUUAUUUUAACAUUUAACUAUUGUAUUUACAAUAAAUUAAGUACUUUAUUUUUGUAUUUUUUUAUUUACAGAUUCUGUCACUACAUUUAAAAUCAAUUUAAAUUAACCAAUUACAAUUCUAAAGCUUAUCUAACAUAAUCGAUAUUCAUAUAUUGACCAUUAUUAAUAUUGUAUGAAUAUUAACUAAAUUGCAUAUAGUCAAAUAUAAAAAAAUUGAGAGUUCAAUUUUCAAGAAAACAAAAUAUCAUAAAACUAAUAAUAAUUCAUAGAAAACUAAUGCAAAAAAUUAAUUUUUAGUAUGUUGUUUCAUUUUAAAAUAAAUUAACAAAAAAUAACAAGUUAAUAUAUGAAUAGUAAAAUACAUCAAAUUUUAUCAAGUUAUAAAUUUUUAAUAUAAUAUUAUGUACAAAUAAAAAAAUUAUUAUCAAAAAUCUAUAUAAUAAAAUACUAUAUUCUACUCUAUAUGUAAAUUACAAAACAUAAAAAAUAUAAAUGAGAUUUUUUUUUAAUAAAACUAGCAGUUUAUGAGUUUACAUUGAACAAAAGUUAAAACAAAUACCUGCGUGGAGGCGCGGAUCAAGUUCUAGUUAAUACUUAAAGUGUAUUUCAUUUCAUAUAUAACAAGUGUAUUUCAUUUCAUUUCGUGUGAACAAACGAUGGUAUUGUAUCUGAAUAUUAAACAAACAGAAAACAUAAUAAGAAACGGAACCAAUUCAUUGCAUAGAAAACUUUUACUUGAGAUGUUUUUCUACCAGAUGUCUCUUUUUAAUGAUGAGAAAUAUCCUUUAGUAGUGUUAAAAAAAUUUUUAUUGCAAAAAUAAAAUACAGGUAGAAAAUGAUAAAAUUAUGUUUCAUUCAAAAAAAUACAUAUACUCUUAGGGUUAGUUAAUUUAGAUUUAAGGUUUGGAUUUUUGGGGGGAAGAGGUUUAAGAUUUGGGGAUUGUAAUUUAUUUUCUAAAAUUUAUGAUCCAAGGAAUAAAAUUUAAUUUUUUUUUUAGAAUUUGAUUUUAAAUUAUUUAUUUAUAUUAAGUGUAUUAUUCACUAAAAUUACUUUAGUCUUUUUGUUCUUUAAUAAAAUAUAUUUUAAUCACGUGCUAGUGGUCCAGUGGUUAAACUCAAUCUGAGAAGUUAUGGGUUCGAGUGCCGCUGGGAUGUGAUUAUCUUGAGGGACCUUCGGGCCCAAUACAGAGAAGCCUGCUAACGUAUGGUCACUGGUGGGAUUUACAUGGAGUGAUCACCAACCUUCCUGGAUGCCUCGGCAGGCUCCCCGGCUAAGCUCCGGUGGACGGUCAUUGGCGUUAGUCGGAUCCUUUCGAGGCUCCGGAUACCAUAAUAAAAAAAAAUCUAUUUUAGUCAUUUCUUACCUUAUGAGCUAUUUUGGUCAUAAAAAUUGGUUUUAGGUCUUUUAGAAGAUUUGCACUUUAAUGAUCAGCUUAUUUGUUUUUGUAAAACAUUUUUUAUUUUUUUAAGAAACUCACCCAGUUUCUAAACGAUGUAAAUAUUCGUAUCACAAAACACAUGGUAUGAUUAUUUUUGCAAUGUUUUGUUGAUUAUUUUACAGAUGGAAUUGAGCGUUUUAGAAUUCGUUUGGAAGUCAUGGUACUGAGUAUUUGUAGUAAAAUAUAUGGGAUGCUAUACAAGGGAUGGGUGUCUAUGAAGUGGAGGGAUGAUGGCCGUGAUGCUUUGAGAAACAAUACAUUAAACUCUUUCAAUGACUUCUUAUGCAUCUUAUUCCGGAGGAAGGUUUUAACACAAAGGCAAUGGCAAAUCAGAGGCCAUGAAGACAGGAAGACCUUGUCGGCUUAUAUUUAUUUUUGUUGUGGUGUAGGUUUUGAACAAAUUAAAUAUUUCUUUUUAGGUGUGUUGAGCUAUGGUCUGAUCAUUACAAGGAGAUUUGGGUGAUGUUUAUUACAGGGAUUUUUUACCGGAGUUGGAACAAUUUGGUUAUAAGGAUAUAUUAAAUAUGGUACCCUCCUCUAUGGCGUUGGUUUGUACUGAGAGAUUGUUGUAUUGUAUAUGGUCAUCGGUUUAUAAACAUGUUUUUUACGGAAUGGUUUAUGGAAUGGAUUAUGAGGGUUAUAUGAUAUUUCGAGCUAGCCGCUAGGUUAUACGAUCCCUCCUGUUACUAUCUCUAGUUGUUUCGAGAUAAAUGAAAAUUUUAAGUUGGAAUUUCCAGGACAUCGGUAGUAAAUGGACUAUUAGUUAUUUGAGAGAAAUUUGGGAGAAACAUAAACUUGUUUUUCUCUUUCUUUCGGAAACAAAACAACAAUUUGAUUUUGUGCAGUCUUUUUAAUUUCAUAUUGGGUAUUCUCAUCUCCAUACGGUUUAUCCUCAAGGGAGAAGUGGUAGUCUGGCUUUAUUCUAUGACUCCACUUGUAAGGUCAAUAUACUUUCUUCUAUUAACAAAAUCAUAUAUAGAUGUCGAGACAGAAUAUAAAGAAAAAAUGAUAUUUCUGUUAUUUGUUUAUGGUGAGCCAAACCAACAUUUUAGAGAUCAGGUUCGGGAGAGGCUUACAAGAUUAGAGAUUUCAAGAGAUGAACCCUGGUCUAUUAUUAGCGAAUUAAAUGAGAUUACGGGUAAUCAUGAGAAACAGGGAGGAGCUCUUAGACAUGCAUAUAAAUCUAACUAAUACUAAAAGGGUUAUAUGAGGAGUAGAGAGGCUGUCCACGUCAGCAAUUAAUUCAAGCCAAUCAGGAGGCUUCUCUAUGACACGUCAGACACGCGAUCUUCAGAGGCGAGACCCGGCCCUUUUUCUUUUCAUCUUUUCCGCCAUCUUCGUUUCAUUCGAUCGCCGUUCUGGCUACUAGCAAUCAAUUCCAUAUCGAGCAAUCAAUCUCUUCUCUAUUAUUAAACGUAGUUUGAUCUCAUAAAUGGAGACUUUUGGCUUUCACGAUCUGAGAUUCUAUAUAUAUAGAUCUCACUCUCAACCUCUUCCCUUCACCAGAAAUUAUUCUCUUCCUGCGAGGUGAUUGCGUUCGACGAUAAAAGGUAUGAGCUCUUGCGUUUAGAAUCAUCUUCUCAUCUAUUCUAAACUAAACAUCAAAGAAAAAAAAUGUGAUUGUGGCGAACGCUUUGGUUUCCUCUCCGAUUUAUAAACUGGCCGCUCUUCCUCCACUGUUCAAGUCGCCUGCUUCGAUCUACAGAAGUCAGUCGAUGUUCUUCAACCAUGGCGGUGAGUUUUCUAAGAUUCUGGGAAGCCAGAAACGUCGAGAGAUGAUGGCGUCGAUAUGCUCUUACUGGAUUCAAAGGCGACCCUCAUGCUGGCCACUGUGAAUGUUAACCGGCUUGCAACUUACAGGACUUAUCUCAAGGAGGGUUCAAUGUAUUCCAUCACCGGUUUUGAUGUUCAAUGUUCCGUGAAAUCAGAACUUCUGGCUUUCCUACUCCUCCCUGUUGAUUAGAUUCAGUGAUGCUACCUCUUUGGAUGAAAUAACUAAACCGGCUUCACCCAUACCUGAAGAAUGUUUCAGGCUGGUCUCUAGCGACACUGGGCAUGCAUCAGCAGCUCCACUGCUGAGGGGCUAUGCCAAGGUUGAGCCUCUGACUAUAGCUGAGCUCAAAUGAAUUCAGUGACAAGAAUGAAGAAGGGCUCAGACAAAGGGUGAUGCUACGUUUCUUGCUCCAACUGUACCAGGAAGCUUCAACGCACUAUCUCAGCCUUUACAUGUGUUCACUGCAACAAUACUAAAGCUGUUGGUGUCCUUCGGCAUGUAUAAUUCCGUAGCAUGUUGUUUACAUUCAUUUUGGUAUCACGUGUAGGUCUCGACUUUUUAUACACGUUCACUGUCUUAUAGCUACCUUGUGGAGAUGGCCAUUGCUGAUGAUACUGCUGUAGAGUCUAUUUUUCUGCUUUGACAGGGUAAUGACAAAACUGCAUAACAUGAGAGUCUAUGAAGAUGAUAUUCCUGGUGCCAUCUCGGUACCUGCUAAGGCAGAGCCGAAUACAUGAGCAGGUCUAAGUGGUGUCAACACAACUAAGUCUCCAGCACUAGGGUGUUCUAAGAUGGUCAAGAAAGCACGCAAGUCAUAGAUUAAAAUAAUGAUAGAUCUGGCAUCAGUAUUUCCUCUUUGAAUAAUGCUUAGGCAUUGUUGUUUUUCUUUUGUUUUUGAACAAGUUCGUUUAUGUUUUACUCCUCUUUUGGUUAAUCUAUGUUUGGUUUAGACUCUCUUUAUAAAAUAUGUCUCAGUUUCCACAAUUGUUGUACAUCUAACUCACUAUUUAUUUAAGACGGACGACACUUGGUCCCAGCUUAUUGUCUGUAUGAAACAAGUGUUUCACCAUCAUCUUUGUAUAACCGAUUUACCCUUAAUCUAGAAUCCAAACAAUAAGCAAACGUCUUUUAAUGAUAGUUAGUACAAGUUCCAUCUAAACCCAAUAUAUUGAUCCCAUCUGUUGUUAUGUUACGGACAUUGUUUCCUGCAGAUACUUUAAAUCGUAUGAAUUAAUGAACAUAGCAUCAAUAGCGUGAGAGAUAAGUUAAUGUCUUUUAAUGUUUCCUAAAAAUUAGUCUGUAACCGUCGAGUUAAUUCAUUUUAGUCUCUGCUAAUUACCUAUAUCUUUCGAUAAUUCUCUGUAAUCUCAACCUACAAUCACAAAAAAAACUCUUUAUGGUGAAAAAAACAUCUAAAGAAAGAGCUCGAACUGACACCGGGGAGCCGAGUACAAGCAACCUUAGUCGUCUGUUCGUAAGCACUGACUCACCUAAUGCUACCAAUGUUGCUGAUGACUCCAUCUCAGGUUUGUACAACUAAUCUAACUUAAAAAAACAUAUUGUCAACCAAAUUACAUAAACAAUUAAAAGCCACUACAAGUCGGUUCUUCACAUUAAAAAUCAAUAUCUUCAUGUGUGAAUUGUUAAGGAAGUUGAGGAUGACGUCACUGUUUACUAAGUGUACCACUAAAGGGCAUGAACCUAGACCACUAAUUAGAUUCUCCCUUUAAUACCACAAUGUCUACGUUUCAAUUUAAAUGAUUAGUAGUACUAUUAUUUAUUACCCCUAACAUUUAAUAGACACAUUACUCCUAAAGAAGAUAAUUGAAUUAAUAAUUAUUGGUAUUGAACCAAAAUAAAUAUGAAAAUAAAUCAUAGAAAAUUUUCUUUUCAUGAAAAAAAAUAUAGAAUAUGUUUUAAAAUUAUUAAUUAUUCAUAAUAGUUUUAAAGUUUAUAAACUCUUCAGAUUUAGGUUUAAAUAAAUUGUUGAUGUAAACUUUUGAGGCUUUUUGGCGACCUUUUGAAGAUUGUUCUACAAUGGGUAGCAGUUAUCAAAAUAUCAUUGUAAGUGACAUCAACUCAUAUUGAUUCUAAAUACCAUACAAGAUUUCUAAUACCGUAACUUAGAAUUUCAUUGUUAAUUAAUAGUGCAAGCUCACUGAUUUCAAGCAAACAAUAUAAAUUUUUGAAUAUCUACUAUGUUAGAAUAGUGAUGUAAUAUGUUCUCAAAUUUUACACGUGUAAUACAUGGUUCAUUUUUAUCGCAAUUUUAUCUAUGAUUAAUAAUUUGUUUCCAUGACAAUCCAAUAUAUAAGAUAAAAAAAAUUUGGAUCAUAACUUAGAUUUAACUAUUCUUUAUUCAUUUCACAUUUGCUGAUCUUUCUAUAUAUAGUUUUAGAUAGUACAUUGAUAACAGUCAGUUUUAGUCCUUUCUAAUUUAGUAUAUGGUUCAUAUUUUAUAAAAUGGGAUGUAAUAUAUGUGCAUUAUUAUAUUAAAUACAUUUAUAUUUGUCUAACUCCGGGCGUAGCCCGGACAAAAUCUCUAGUUUCUAUAAUUUAAUAAUAUGAUAGAGAAUUGUGGUUUAAUAAAAUCUAUUUUAACCACGUGCUAGUGGUCCAGUGGUUAAACUCAAUCUGAGAAGUUAUGGGUUCGAGUGCCACUGGGAUGUGAUUAUCUUGUGGGACCUUCGGACCCAAUACGGAGAAGCUUGCUAACGUAUGGUCACUGGUAGGAUUUACAUGGAUUGAUCACCAGCCCUCCUGGAUGCCUCGGCGGGCUCUCCGGCUAAGCUCUGGUGGAUAGUCAUUGCGUUAGUCAGAUCUGAGGCUCCGGAUACCAUGAUAAAAAAAAAUAUUUUAGUCAUAAAAUUUGGUUUUAGGUCUUUUAGAAGAUUUGCACUUUAAUGAUCAGCUUAUUUGUUUUAGUAAAACAUUUUAUAAUUUUUUUAAGAAUUUCAUCCAGUUUCUAAACGAUGUAAAUAUUCGUAUCACAAAACACAUGGUAUCAUUAUUUUUGCAAUGUUUUGUUGAUUAUUUUACAGAUGGAAUUGGGUGUUUUUGAAUUUGUUUGGAAGUCAUGGUACUGAGUAUUUGUAGUAAACUAUAUGGGAUGCUAUACAAGGGAUGGGUGUCUAUGAAGUGGAAGGACGAUGGUCGUGAUGCUUUGAGAAACAAUACAUUAAACUCUUUCAAUGACUUCUUAUGCAUCUUAUUCCGGAGGAAGGUUUUAACACAAAGGCAAUGGAAAAUCAGAGGCCAUGAAGACAGGAAGACCUUGUCGGCUUAUAUUUAUUUUUGUUGUGGAGUAGGUUUUGAAGAAAUUAAAUAUUUCUUUUUAGGUGUGUUGAGCUAUUGUCUGAUCAUUACAAUGAGAUUUGGGUGAUGUUUAUUACAGGGAUUUUUUACCAGAGUUGGAAAAAUUUGGUUAUAAGGAUUUAUUAAAUAUGGUACCCUCCUCUAUGGCGUUGGUUUGUACUGAGAGAUUGUUGUAUUGUAUAUGGUCAUCGAUUUAUAAACAUGUUUUUUUCGGAAUGGAUUAUGGAAUGGAUUCACUAUUUAUGAUGCAUCCUGAGAAAGCUCUGGAUUCGGAUGGGAUGACGGCUUUAUUUUAUCAGAAAUCUUGGUCAGUAAUUAAGGAUGAUGUGGUUAAUAUGGUUAAUGAUUUUCUUAGUUCCGGUUCUUUUGAUGAUAGGUUAAAUAUGCUAAAUAUUUGCCUUAUUCCUAAAACAGUUGGGCCAAAUAGGAUGACGGAAUUACGGUCCAUUAGCCUAUAUAAUGUCGGCUACAAAAUUAUCUCUAAGGUUUUGUGUCAACGAUUGAAGCGCAUUUUGCCACUUCUUAUUUCAGAAACGCAAUCGGCCUUUGUCUCUGGCAGAUUAAUUUCAGAUAAUAUUCUUAUUGCUUAGGAGAUGUUCCACGGGCUGGGAACUAAUAAUGCGUGCAAAGAAAUUUUUUUGAAGAUUACAACGGAUAUGAAUAAAACUUAUGAUAGGGUAGAAUGGUCAUUCAUGGAGCGGCUUUUAUUCAAAAUGGGUUUCUGCCUGGCCUGGGUUUCCAGAGUGAUGACUUGCAUUUUUUCGCUCACUUAUAAGGUCUUACUUAAUGGUCAAUCUAAAGGGAGCAUUGUUCCAGAGAGAGGGAUGAGACAAUGGGAUCCCCUUUCUGAAUACUUAUUCAUUUUAUGUAUGCAAGCUCUUAUUGCACAUAUUAGGAGAGAGCAGAGAGAGAAACAGUUAACAUGACUAAAGAUAUCGCGCGGAGGUCCUGCGGUUUCACAUAUACUAUUUGUUUUUCUGUAAGGCAAAUAUGGCUCAAUGUGAUGUUGUCCUAAAGCUCCUAAAAGACUACGAAGCAGUGUCAGGCCAGUUAAUAAAUUUUGAUAAAUCUUCUUUGCAAUUUGGGCAUAAGGUACCAGAUUCACAGAGGGUGAAAAUUCAAAAUAAACUUGGUGGUACUAAGUUAGGAGGCAUGAAAAAUUAUUUGGAUAUACCAGAGAGUUUGGGUAGAUCCAAAACACAAGUUUCAGUUCCUUGAAUGAAAGGGUUAAUAAUAAGGUGAACAAUUGGACAUUCUAGUUUCUUACUAAAGGUGGAAAAGAAGUAAUGAUAAAUUCAGUAGCUUCAGCAAUGCUGAAUCAUGUCAUGUCUUGCUAUAGAUUACCAAAGGCAUUUAUAAAGAAAAUUACAGGGGCUUUUGCCCACUUCUGGUGGAGCAGUGGUGACAAUAAAAGAUGUAUACACUGGUUCUCCUAGGAUAAAGUAUGUAAAUCCAAAGAGGGAAGUCUUAACUUUAGAGAUCUUCAUGAUUUCAAUAUGACUAUUGGCGAAGAAAUUAUGGUGUUUGAUUGACAAACCAGAUUGUUUGUUUUCAAAAGUGUUUAAAGGCCGAUAUUUUUGGAAUACAGAUCCAUUGAAUCCUCACAGAUCUUAUUCACCUUCCUAUGGCUGGAGAAGUAUAUGCUCGGCUUGAUCUCUGGUAAACAAAGGGUUAAUCAAAAGAGUAGGAAUGGGACAGACCAUCUCCGUAUGGAAUGUUCUGUGGAUUCCUGUUCCUCGCCCGAGAUCAGCUGAACCAAAAAUGCAACCACAGUUUUUAAAUCCUUGUUUAAAAGUGGACCAUCUUAUUGAUCCGGUGACUAAAUCCUGGAAUGUCGAUUUGCCGAAAGUAUAUAUACAUCCGGAUGAUGUUGAUAUUAUUAGAGGUAUGGCUAUAAGUCGGAAUGGUAGGCAUGAUUUUUAUGGGUGGGUCCUACACAGAGUCCAGAAAAUACACUGUCAAAUCAGAGUAUAUGAUUGAAUCCUUAUUUCCAAAGAGACGGUAUCUUAUGGCCCAAAUAUUAAACCUCUGUUGGCCUUCUCAUGGAAACUUAGGUGUUCUCCGAAAUUCAGACAUUUUAUUUGGUAAGAUCUUACACAUACUAUACCAGUUACAAAAUAUUUAAGAGCACGAUGCAUCAAUUGUGAUAUUCGAUGCAAUAUUUGUGGUGCAGAGGAAGAGUCAAUUAAUUAUGUGCUAUUUGAAUGUCCCCCGCUUUGCAGACUUGGGCUUUGUGAAAAUUUCCUUUUUUUCCUGGGUAUCUUCGGUCUUUACUAAUAUGGAUUAUCUCUUUUGGAGAUUACUAGAAGAAUAUGACUUUAGUAACUUUCCAUGGAUAUUAUGGUACAUUUGGAAAAAUAGAAAUAAUAAGGUUUUCAAUAACAAAGAUGAAAAUCCACAUGAAAUUCUGAGAAUCGCUGAAGUAGACGGUGAUGUAUGGGCAUAGGCUCACCUCACAAUUCCAGUAAGACAACAUAUGGUUCCACAAACCUUUGAUUGGCAAUCAUCGGGACAUUCGAGAGUUUGUUUAUAUAGAUGGUGCGUGGAAGGAAACUGAUAAGUUCUCGGGACAUGAUUAGUUCUGUAGAGGCGUGGUUACAGAUUAUGACAUUUUGAAGCUCGAAAUCGACAAUUUCAGUUUUCAUCUUACUUCAAAGUAAAUAAUAGAGAAACAUAGUUAAAUCAAGUAAAUAGUCAAAAAAAAUCAUUUUAUGUCAAAAAAAAAACGGCUGCAACUUAGGUCUGAGAUAGGGAAGAGGCGAGAAAAAAGGAUGAAAAGACAUUUACCUUAUUACCCAUUCCUAAAAACUGAUUGAAAACAUAAAAAGUUAUACUAUAUGGAUUUGAACCAGGGUUAGGUCAAUAUAUCCUUCUAAAUAAACCGUUAUGCCACAACAUCUUCAUUGUUUUUUUUUUUUUGAAAAAACAUCUUCAUUGUUAUAUCCGAUAGAAUUACGCAAAAAUUACUCUUCGAGUACUCUCUAAAUACUUUCCAAUUUUAUAUAACUCGCUAAGUCCUGUUCCACCCUACACGUAUUCCGAACCUGGGUAUUACUCAUGCUUCAUAAAUUAAUUAUAAAGUUAAAUUUAAAUUACUCCAAAGAAGAAGAAAAAAAUCACGGGAUUUGGGAAAAACAAGAAAAAAGAAGAGUGAUUUACACUAUAAGACAGUUUAUGAGUUUUUAUUACAAUAUAAGGCAGUUAUUGCUCCUAAGGUAGUUUUUCCUAACUACAAGCCAACUAGACUUAUUCUUCUAACAAAAUGGGUCCUACAGUUUUUAAUUUUAUUUUUCUCUCUCUUUAAUGGCAGCAAAACUUGAAGAAUCAUCACUCCGACCACCGUCUACGUCUUUUUUACUAGCCGCUAAAUUAGAGUCAGAUCUGUACUGCAAGCACCAAAAGGCCACACCCUUUAUCAUUGCUCAAGCUAUCAUGGGUGAAGCGGCUGUAAAUCAAAAACGACCACAUUCUCUGUUAUUGCUCGAGUAACGGCGAGCUCCUACGGAGAAUCACCACUCUGCUGCUUCAUUUAGUCAUCAAAGAAUCACCUCCGCCGCGCUCUUUAACUCAUCUCCCUUGUGCUCUUUAACUCAUCUCCCUUGAUAAAAAAUUCACUAUUUUUAAAAUCUAAAUUUGAAAAACAUUUUAUAAAUGAUAAAACUAAGAUCUUGAAAUGUAACCUAUAAUUAAAACGUAAAAGAAUGAAACAUUAUGUGAAAGAAACCAAUGGCGGCCGUAAAUUUUUUGCAGAAAACCCUAAAAUUCUGGGGAAGAAGAAGACAUAUUUACUAAAAUGCCACUGAUUUAAAAAUUGAAAUUAAACAAAAUAUGUACACAUUCAUGGGUCGUACACAUGGAUAAUAAUGUGUAUGUACACUAUUAUAUUAUUUAUUUGUAAACACAUCUAAAAGUGUUUGCGUGUUUAAGAUAUACUUAUAAAAGAAAUUUACAAGUAUGUACACUAUUUUAUCAGAUACUGCAUUCAGCUGUGUUCUGAUAUUGGUAUGUUUGGACAUAGCAAAAUAGUGUACAUAUGCACAAAGCGAAACCUUUGUACAUUUGUACAUAGUGAGUAAUCUUUGUACAUGUGUACAUAGUUUGGACAUGGCCAGAUACUUGUGUUGUGUUUAAUGUGGACACGGUGAUGUGAACACAAUAUACAAUGUAAACUGUGAUGUGAACAUAGUAUAUUGAUAAAAGGAGUCCAUGUGGACAUCUUAAAUACCAAUGUACAUGUUGUGAUAUCUUAAAAGAUGUAAUGAAUAUUGAUUGACAUUCACCUUUGUUGUAGUAGUACUAGUAACAAUAUACAUGAUCAGGUAGUGUCCAUAUGGACAAGUUGGAAACUCUGUGUAGAUGUUGCUAUACGUUUAGAUGUUUUGUAAUGCUUGUAAAUCCGUACAUAUCCAUAAAACAUACAUAUGGGACAUAGUAUUGCAGAUGUUUUUAACGUGCAUAUGGUGGCUGAAUCCAAACAAAGCAUCGACGCUCGCAAAUCCAUCUACAAAGGAAGUACCAUUGUGUCCUAGAUUAUUUGGUUUGUCGCUUAGGGUCAAACUUAGAUACAUCAUUUGAGCAAUUUCCCCCUGACUUCUUAAUUUGUUUUCUUCAUUAUCUUUGUACAUAGAAAGAUAAGACUUGUGUAAGUAUUCUACGAGAACAACUGAAAAAUCAGAUUGGAUCAAGAUAUCUUAGAGACCAGAAAUAGAUGUUACAUUGUAACUUAACAAUACUCACAACUAAACCUGUAAUUAGAUCAAGAUGGGAGCAACACAUUUAGCACCACAAAAAAUCGUCAACGUGUACGCAUGUAUUCGAUGUCCACAUGUACAAUGUAUUUUUUAAAAAUCAGAUGUACACUGGUUCUUUUGUACACUGCACAAGUUAUGAUGAUUCUAAUGAUUUUGAGUAUCUUAUUAUUGUUGCUCAUCGUGCUUUUGCAACAAAGGGGGUGAGAUGGAGGAGAUGAAAGAGGCGAGACAGAGGCGAGACAGAGGCAACAACGAGAAGGAGGCGACGAAGGCAACAACGAGAAAUGAAUCUGAUGUACAUGUGUAUUGUUGUACAUGUGGAUGGUAAAAAAAUUUGUGUACAUAGUUUAUUGUUGUACAUGCGUAUUGUAGUACAAUAUGAUUCUUCAUAUUUAUUUGUGUUCAUUUAAGUCAUUUAGGUGUGUCUUUAGCUAUUUUUAUUGUAUUUUCAUAGAUUUAUUCGUACUACAAGGGGUUAAAAUGUUGUUUCUGAAGUUUAGGACGAAAUUAAAGACUAACUUUAACAUUUAAAAAGUGUUGGGUUACAAAAUAAAUAACAAAUAAGUUUAGGGACCAAAUCUGCAAAAAUACUCAAAUUAGACAUUGUUGAUCUCAAGCUUAUCGUGCCAGUUUCAGAGCGCGUCGGAGAGGCAUGAAGGUCACAGCGACGAUGAAUCACGACGAGGAAAGAUGAGUUGAGACACAACACGGCAUAGCAAGCUCGAACCACCACUGUUUUGCCUUGCGGUGAAGGAGAAGAUAUGACGUUUCGACAGCGGCGAGAACUUAAGUCACGGCGACGACAGAGACGAGUUGCAAAACACAUACCGAAGAUGAGAUGAAAUAAUUGUGGCGGAGAAGAAAGAGUUGUGGCGAAAAAAAAGAGAAGCGGCGGAGACGGAGAAAAGUGUGACAAUGUGAAGAAAAAAAAAAAGUUUUGAUAAUUUCUGAUUUUUUUUAAUAUGGUUUUAGAUUUCAAACGUGUGGUCCCAAGUAAAAAAGGAAAGUUACUAAUUUCCAAAAAUUAUGGGGCCAUUUUUGUUACACCAAUGACUUAGUUAACAAAAACUACCUCAGUAGUCAUAACUGCCUUAUGUUGUUAUUAAAAACUUAAAACUGCCUUACAAUGUAAUACUAGAUUUGGACCCGCGCAACUGUGCGGGUAUUAAUUUUCAUGUUUAUAUAUAUAUUUUACAUAAUUAGAAUAUAUUUUUAAAGUUACUUAUAUAUUUAAAUGUUUAUAUAUAAUUAUUUUAAAUAUAACAAUUUGAUAGUUUUCAUGCUGUAAGUUAAUUGAUUAUUUCAAAUCAUCAUAUAUAUUUGGUAUUUUUUAUUAUAUAUAUUUGAAAAUUAUUUUUAUUCAAUUAUUAUGAUCCUGAUCCGUUAUUUCAAGCGCUAAAUUUUCUUUAUCAAUAUUUUUUUAUGUUUAUUCAUUUAAUAUAAUAACUAUAUAUAUAUAUAAAGUUUAAUAUAAGUUAAUUUUAUACAUGAAUUAUCUAAUUUACUAAUGUUAACCGUUCUACCAACAUAUUAUAUUAAUUUAUCAGUUUAAAAUAAUUUUAUCGUAUUUAGUUAAAUACAAUAUUU